GAUGAAGAACGUAGCGAAAUGCGAUAAGUAAUGUGAAUUGCAGAAUUCAGUGAAUCAUCGAAUCUUUGAACGCACAUUGCGCCCCCUGGUAUUCCGGGGGGCAUGCCUGUUCGAGCGUCAUUUCACCACUCAAGCCUCGCUUGGUAUUGGGCAACGCGGUCCGCCGCGUGCCUCAAAUCGUCCGGCUGGGUCUUCUGUCCCCUAAGCGUUGUGGAAACUAUUCGCUAAAGGGUGUUCGGGAGGCUACGCCGUAAAACAACCCCAUUUCUGAGGUUGACCUCGGAUCAGGUAGGGAUACCCGCUGAACUUAAGCAUAUCAAUAAGCGGAGGA
rnacentral:misc_RNA from 1 species